rnacentral:lncRNA from 1 species
GCAGCUCUAUUGAUUUUGUUAGACUCCCAUUCCCUUCGAGAGAUGACGAUUGGAGUGUAGAGGUAGAUGAGGUACCCAUUUGGUUAUUAAUUGGUAGAAUCCUGAACACUGAAUUACAUUAGUGAACAAUUGACCCAAUUAGAUGGCAAGAUGAUGAGUAUACCAAAUGGCUAAUGACUAGUUUAUUACAACUGUCUUAAUUGAUUAGAGUAAGUCAGCUGAUCAACAAUUUGCUCUGUUGCCUU